CACCCCCAGUGCUCUCUGCUCCUCCUCGUGCGACAGACAGCCGCCUCUCCCGCUCCCGUGCAGUCCCAGCCGCAUCCCGAGACACGAUGGUGAAGGUCGGAGUGAACGGAUUUGGCCGCAUUGGGCGUCUGGUCACCAGGGCUGCUUUCGAAUCUGGCAAAGUGGACAUUGUUGCCAUCAAUGACCCUUUCAUUGAUCUGCACUAC